UUCCAGAAUAAUGUCACUUGACUGUCCAACUUUAAAAGCAAGGCAAGUUCGGGGACUAGCAGAAAUGUUGGCACAGGCCAAGGACAGUCGAAGAGUGCUGGACACAUGUGCCCAGUUGGGAGAGCUUGGAGACUGACCCCAUGGACGGACUGCAUCUGCCCUGACUGUGGGAGGACUGGAGCAGGAAGGCCAUGAGUCAGAGCUGCCUGUGGACAGAGAGGGUGCUCACCCAUGUGGCUGGCCAUGGGGCAGCCUAUGAAUUGUCUCCUCCAGCUUCAAGGGCCAGGGCUAGGAAGCUGUGCCCCUCACCGAACACACAAACUUUAUGUUCCUGUGGGAGGCUGUCCCAUGACCCCAUUUUCUGCCUUAUGAGAAAGCACUCAGGAAUGAAAGAGAGCACAGGACCUCGUGACUGCGAUCAUCAGUGAUGGUCCCCCAGGGCCCCUGCAAAGGCCUUCGUCCCCUCCUAUCUCCCUCAGUUCUCUCCCCUCUUCAGAUGGUCCACACAAACUACCAAAAAACUGAAGUCAGAACAGUGCUCAUUAUGUCCAAACAGGUCUACUUCAAAUCCUCUAGACAGUGGCCUCGCACCAGGCAGCUGCCUGAAGCCCCUCUACAAUUCUGGAGCCUCUUGCAUGGUUGAAACCUUGAAUUCAUCCUUUUUCUUAAUUGUUGUUCCUCUGUUACUAGUAAUGAAUUGCUUGGUGGAUGCCAAAGCCUUUACCCUCCAGGGUAAGAAAAAGGGUUUAAAAAAUAAGCAUCCCAGAAAAAACUUAGAACAACUCAAAUCUCAGUGUGUUAAAAAGGCAGCACAAGGGCAUGUUUAAAGGCUAGUUUCCAAGACUUAGAUCCAGUUCUGAUUCAGUAGAAAGAGCCUGGGAAUAUGCCUUUUAAAUAAACAACUCUAGUUAUUCAAGUUGUAAAUGGCCUGUACUCUGCAGAUCCCACCUUGAGACACAUUUGUUUAAAUGUACAUCAAGGAGUGAAUGCUUCCCUUGGGAUGGUUGGAAGUAUCGGUGGCUGGGGAGAGAUAACUAUUCCAAGUGCCUUGGAAAGGGAAAAAGAGUGGAUGCAAAUACAUGACAGGCUUUGCACAUAUUUGACAAGGAGUAAGCAUUGAUACCAUGAAAAAUACACCUAAAGGAAAUGAAAUCAUGCCAUUCUCCUAUUCAUUUUGCCAUCUCUGCUUGCCCCUCAGAUCUGGGCAGCAUUCAGGGAUCAGAUCUGGUUAGACUCAGGGAUGCCCAGAGGCCCCAAAGGCCUCUCCGUCGCCAGCCCUCCUGACUUCCUUCUGAUGUGUUUUGAAUAUGGAGGUGACAGGAAGAGGAUGAGAAUUUUCUCUGAGAGCGGGGCCUGGCUUCUGCUUCCUGUCAGAACGCACUCUCCUCUUUCCAAGGAUGCAUCAGGACUAGAGGAACACCACCUUUAUUCAUCCGAGUAAACCUUAGGUCUUACUCAUCAAUUCUGAAUGGGAAGACCUAGAAUGUGGUAUUAAAUGUCUUCAAGUGAGCAAGGGGCUAUGUUACACCUUUGUGCUAGAUGGUGUCAUUAUUAAUAGCAAGCACUCAUGUAACACUUACCAUGUGCCGAAAUACUUUGCAAAUGUUAACUUGUUUAAUCCUCACUACAGGUCUAUGUGGUAUAUGAGAUUGGUGGUUUUAUAGAUUACUAUGAACUCAUUUUGUGGAUGAGGGAACUAAGGCAUAGAAAGAUUAAGUAACUCACACAAGGUCAUGUAGCUAGUAAGUGGGGGACUAAGGAUUCCAACCUGCAUUCUCACUCACUAUCUGUAUCUAUAUGUCCAUAUACUACCCAUCUAAGAAGGCAAAACCAGGCCGAAGCCAGAAAAUCCUCCAGAAGCAAACAAAAAUAAUACUCUUUAAAAAAAAUCUAUUUUCAAAGACAUUUCAGAAAAGGAGACUGGAAAUAGCAAACUAAUUUGAGCAUGUACUCAAUAUAAAGGCAGAAUCACUUCAUGGUUCUUAUAUCUAUAUAUUCAUUAGUACAGUCCAACAAACUACAAUCUAUUAAAAACAACCCUGCAUGACAACCAAUUUUUAUUUGGUUCAUGCCAACAAUUAUCUCAUUUAAUCCUCAGCCUGUUGAAGACUGCCUUAACAGCUUCUUUGCUGAAUAUUAACACACCAAAGAUAACUGUCUUUCUAACAUGAUUUCCAACACACUGUGUCCUGUAGCCCAGGUAGAAAAAUUGCAUCUACUUUUGAAGAAUAGGAGAGACCACAGACAGACUCACACUGAAGCAGCCUUUUACUGAAAACUCACAUUGCUGGUUCCUCCUGGAAUCUACUUCUGUUUGGGGGAAAGCAUUAACAUAGGAGUCCUGAGCCUCAACUGUAGUUCUGGCUCCCCACUAAUAAGUUGUAUGAUGCACGGUAGGCAGUUACCUCUUUGAAUCUGUUUCUUAGCUUUCUUAUGUAUUUUUAAGGUCAAAUGAAAUUUUUAUGAAAGUGGCGAAACUGUGUUACAAAAUGUAAGGUAGUAUUACAGAUGGUUUUAAUAAAUAUGAUAAUUAUUAUUUUAUUUAUCUAAAGGCCAUGUGACUGCAACUUAAUUUGAGGUUGCCUGUCUGCUGUUUCCCCUCCUAUGACCCCCCAGUUAAACUUCUUGUGGGAAGGAACCAUGUCUUAUUCAUUUUUGCCUCUUGAGCCUGUUUCUGGUACAUAGUAGGUAAUCAGUAAAUGUUUCCAUUCAUAAUAACAGGAGUUUUCAAAGGAAUUUUAAAGGUAUCCCAUCUAGGUUGAGAGGAGCCCAUGAAAGAAAAAGUC